ACAGCCAUAUCAUGUGGAAACAACAGUUCUUGUACAAUCACUGAAGUUAAGCAAUGUCAAGCCUAGUCAGUACUUAGAUGUGUGAUCACUUGGGAAUACCAGCUGCUGUAGG